rnacentral:rRNA from 1 species
CCUACGGGAGGCAGCAGUGGGGAAUUUUGGACAAUGGGCGCAAGCCUGAUCCAGCAAUGCCGCGUGAGUGAAGAAGGCCUUCGGGUUGUAAAGCUCUUUUGUCAGGGAAGAAACGGUGAGGGCUAAUAUCUCUUGCUAAUGACGGUACCUGAAGAAUAAGCACCGGCUAACUACGUGCCAGCAGCCGCGGUAAUACGUAGGGUGCAAGCGUUAAUCGGAAUUACUGGGCGUAAAGCGUGCGCAGGCGGUUUUGUAAGUCUGUCGUGAAAUCCCCGGGCUCAACCUGGGAAUUGCGAUGGAGACUGCAAGGCUAGAAUCUGGCAGAGGGGGGUAGAAUUCCACGUGUAGCAGUGAAAUGCGUAGAGAUGUGGAGGAACACCGAUGGCGAAGGCAGCCCCCUGGGUCAAGAUUGACGCUCAUGCACGAAAGCGUGGGGAGCAAACAGGAUUAGAUACCCUGGUAGUCCACGCCCUAAACGAUGUCUACUAGUUGUCGGGUUUUAAUUAACUUGGUAACGCAGCUAACGCGUGAAGUAGACCGCCUGGGGAGUACGGUCGCAAGAUUAAAACUCAAAAUGAAAUUGACGG